UUUCUCCACAAAGCAGGAAGCAGCACCACAAUUCACAUCUCCUGAGUUUGACACCAGAGAAUAUCUCAGACUUCUCACUAGAGCUGAGUUCAAAACGACUCAGGAACCACAUGUGAAGACUUGUCUUCAGAUUACCCAGUGAAACCACAGAAGAAAUGGAGAGGUCAGAGUUCCAACAAGCAGGAUCAUCAAGAAGAGAGGAUAUUUUCUCUGCUGGGUUCAUAAGAUAGUUUUGCAAUCCUACCAAGUAGGGAGGCUGGUGAAUUCAAAGAAGACA
rnacentral:lncRNA from 1 species